AUUGAACGCUGGCGGCAGGCUUAACACAUGCAAGUCGAGCGGGGUGAUGGUGCUUGCACUAUCACUUAGCGGCGGACGGGUGGGUAAUGCUUAGGAAUCUGCCUAUUAGUGGGGGACAACAUCUCGAAAGGGAUGCUAAUACCGCAUACGUCCUACGGGAGAAAGCAGGGGAUCACUUGUGACCUUGCGCUAAUAGAUGAGCCUAAGUCGGAUUAGCUAGUUGGUGGGGUAAAGGCCUACCAAGGCGACGAUCUGUAGCGGGUCUGAGAGGAUGAUCCGCCACACUGGGACUGAGACACGGCCCAGACUCCUACGGGAGGCAGCAGUGGGGAAUAUUGGACAAUGGGGGGAACCCUGAUCCAGCCAUGCCGCGUGUGUGAAGAAGGCCUUAUGGUUGUAAAGCACUUUAAGCGAGGAGGAGGCUCUUUUGGUUAAUACCCAAGAUGAGUGGACGUUAUUCGCAGAAUAAGCACCGGCUAACUCUGUGCCAGCCGCCGCAGUAA
rnacentral:rRNA from 1 species